CCUCUUUCCCUACAACCUCGCCGCCAACUACCGCCUCCACCUGUGCCUCGAUCUCCAUGCGCCGCCGCCCGCCGGACCGCCUCGACCUGUGCCUCUCCGUGCGCCGCCGGACCGCCGGGCCCACGCGCCGCCGGCUUGCCUCGACCUGUGCCUCUCCACGCGCCGCCGUAUCGCCGCGUCCACGCUCCAGCCGCCCGGCCGCGUCGUCCACGCGACGCCUGGACCGCCGCGUCCACGCUCCAGGCGCACGGCAGCGUCGCCGUCUACGCUCCAGGCGCAGCACCGGGCAUCCACGCUGCAGGUGCCUUCCCCUCCGAUUCAUCCGCCGCCGCCGCCUUCGUCCCCAUCCCAACUCGCCGCCUCGAUUUGCUCCGCGUCUCCAACCGUACCAAAUCUCAACCCCAUCGUCCUCUCCGACCUCCCUCUCUUAUUCCCCUGUGCCUGGGCGAGGUGGGCCAUGACGUGCACACGGCAAAGAGCGGUUGCGGCUCCGGCACCGGUGGAGCUCCUGCGGCUGGUGGUUGAUUGCCGCGACAUCGACGGGUGGCGCCGCCGUGGAAAGCCUCCACGCUCUACAGCCCUUGCACGGCGAGACUUCCUUCUCCUCCCGCCUUGCCAUGAUGCGCGGCUCCUCGGCUGCGCGCGCCCCGGGGACUCCCUCUUCUUCCACUACAACGGCCAUAGCCUGGGGUUGCUGCCGCCUGAGACCCGCCAGGACGACCACAAGGGGUUUGACUCCACACCAAUGUCAUCAAGUUGCUCGCUCAAAGUGUGACAACCUGCUAUGGGGUGGUUCUCUUAUUGAAUAUAGGUUGGUCAAACUAUCACAGGGUGGUUGUACCUAAGGCAUGGUUUUAUGAGUUACAGUGCCCAUAAAUCUUCACUUUGGAAGUGGAAGUAAUGAUAGUGAGGAGAAGUCAACUAAACAACAGAAGGAACUUGCCUGUAUGGUGUUUGCUAGAAUAGAAGAAUCUGCAAAAAGAGGUCGGAUGUGGGCUGUACAUGGGCAUUAACUCGUUUCCGGGAUUCGGGAGGGAGCAUGUGCCAUAGAACUUCAAGAAGACAAGAACCAUGCGUACCUCCACGUCGUGCAGCGGCAGAAGCCGGAUCACGAUGAGCCAGAGCGCCCGCUGAUGAAGUCACUCUCCUCACCAUCAGUAUGACAAACUUGUCGCUCAUUAGAUCAUGCACGUAUUGUCUACAUCUAUCCACAGCCUGUGGCCUACGUGAAUGACAUGCUUUGGUUGGCAACGUAAUAUCUUCUGUUUGGCUCUGUUUUUUUAAUAAUGAUGACAGCCAAAAAAUACAUUAUCAAUGGAUUCACAUCAUGUGUUAUUCUGGAGCAGGUUACCAUACAUGACUGAAACUGUGCAAAGUACACACGAUAUGAUGUGUUCUGUCGUAGCUGAUUGUUACAAAUGAUGUAUUAUUGUAAUGUUGACAUUUGGAUGCCCUCGCUCCAAUAAACUAAUAUCUAGCAGGAUCAUACGAGAUAUUCGAAAAAGACAAAAAGUUAAUGUUUUACAAAUCAUGUGGCAUUAGCUCUUGUUUUGUCCAUUUCUCUUCCUUUUGAGCAUUUAAUCCCUUCCUCCUACGCAAUAUGACUUAUGUACAUGAUUUGGCAACCAUGGACUGUUUGUCUUAGUAGGAGGGAGGCCUAUUCUAUAUUCGCGUUUACCUUUUCCUGCUCAUGGAAAAUGUAAUAGUUAGGUUUCUCUAGCCCUAUAACAGAUUCUAUAUUUCCACAAGGUUUGCUAUAGUUAUGUGUCUGGAUCUAUUGAUCUCAACCAGGUAUGCUCUUUCCCUGCCUGGCAUUUUACUUGGUUAUAUCAUCAUUAAACAUGCUUUCUUUUGGAGCCCUGUUUCUUGAUGUUUUGUACUCAGUCCCAAAAUAAGUGUCCUGUCCUGAGCUCCACCUUAUCAGCCUCAUCUCCCUCGAUAUUCUUGAUUUGGAUCGCACAUGAGGGAGGUGAGGUGCCAUUGCCGCGACAGGGGCGAUGAGGAGGCUCGGCCCUUGAAUCAUUGCAUAUGCUUCUUCAGCCCUUUCUUUCUUUCUUGCUUGUUCUUUAACAUUUGUGUUUUUCCGAACAGAUGAGGAAGAUUAAUCCAGACAAAGUUCCACAAACGUCUACGCAUCGUUCCCCAUUUAAAGACAUAACAAAUUUAUCUAUGAUUGAGAAUGCAAAUGUCACUCCUAAUACUCGGGAAGCAAAAAAGAAUAGUACUCAGUCAUGGUAUGGCCGAUUGUCUGGCGAGAAGAAAGCAGCAUUCCUUGAAAAGCGUUGUAUCGCCUGACAACAAAAGAAGGCUCAGGCUCUCAAUAUUUUUAAUUGUCAACAACCAGCUGAGGCACCUGCUUCGUUAGGAUCCAAGGAGUGUACCCCUUGGAGCAACAUAACCAACAUGCACGCACGCACGCAGUGUUACUGUCGAAGUACCUCAGAGUUCUAACUCGCUAUGUUCACCUGGUUCAGCCUCUAUGGUACCAAUCUCCGAGAGUACUUCUCUUCCGGUGGCUCAACACAAAACGACAGCUGCAACCGCCGGUGUGAGUGUCGAAGAGUGUUAACCAUCUACCGAGGAAGCGUCAUUUGGUAUGAAGGUCCAACCUUCUGUUGUAAGAAAGGUCUUGGAGUUAUCCUUGACCAACGGGUCAACGCCACGGCAAGAACCGGCGUAUGUAUAUUUCGUGCUCAUGGUCAGUUGUACCAUCGUUCUGGACCAUCUUGUACCAGGUAGUCAUAGACCCAGACAUAUGCAGCUAUAUAUUUAUGAUAUGGAUGAAGCCUCGGAACAUAGGGUGAAGCGCUCUCCGGAUAUUGAUAUCAAUCUCAUACGAAAGAUUCUACGUAUAUUGGAGAACAACCCGUAUGUUCAGUUGAUCACAUAGGUUCUCAUCACUGAUCUACUACUUGAAGAAGAUAAUGGAGGUAACACGAUGCGAGAAGAAAAUACUAUACCUGUUGUGCUUCGCUUGGCCUUCAGUCAGCAAGAUCAGCAGCCAGCUCCUACCUGUAGUUCAACCUCUCAGGAUUCAAAGACUUCCGCAAGGAUUGGUUACAAGAGAGUCUUUUCCUUCCUAUGAUCUUGUGUAUAUCUUGUACGGUUCUGCUCAAUGUUGCGCUUGAAAUAUGGCAUUGGAUUGAGCUCAUGUGUGAGACUUAUGGAUUCUGAACCUUUUGCUUUGCAAUGUGUGAUAAUGAUGUGUGAGACUUAUAUAUUGUGACACCAAAUUUAUGUGAUGUGUGCAAUUCUGUAAUGUGAGGCCAAACUAAGUUCUGUCCAUUUUAUUGGAUUUUCAACAUAUGGUAUACCCAUGGUGGUCUAACAAUGCCUAAAUGAUGCCAAUUUUGUUUGUCUAAUAUACUACUGAUAAUUUUGGAUAAGUUUAAGACAUUUUGUUCAAAUUUGUGAAGUCUGAACACACUUUUGGGUGUGGUUAAAUGUACCGAGUUGUUUUUUGCUUUACAUGCUGAACACACUUUUGAAGUUCCUUUACAUAUAGGCCUUAUUUUUCUUUUUUCCAAAUACACUCUCAGCAAAUGCCAUGGAAA